GAUGAACGCUGGCGGCGUGCCUAAUACAUGCAAGUCGAGCGAACGGACGAGAAGCUUGCUUCUCUGAUGUUAGCGGCGGACGGGUGAGUAACACGUGGAUAACCUACCUAUAAGACUGGGAUAACUUCGGGAAACCGGAGCUAAUACCGGAUAAUAUUUUGAACCGCAUGGUUCAAAAGUGAAAGACGGUCUUGCUGUCACUUAUAGAUGGAUCCGCGCUGCAUUAGCUAGUUGGUAAGGUAACGGCUUACCAAGGCAACGAUGCAUAGCCGACCUGAGAGGGUGAUCGGCCACACUGGAACUGAGACACGGUCCAGACGCCUACGGGAGGCAGCAGUAGGGAAUCUUCCGCAGUGGGCGAAAGCCUGACGGAGCAACGCCGCGUGAGUGAUGAAGGUCUUCGGAUCGUAAAACUCUGUUAUUAGGGAAGAACAUAUGUGUAAGUAACUGUGCACAUCUUGACGGUACCUAAUCAGAAAGCCGCGGCUAACUACGU
rnacentral:rRNA from 1 species